CUGACAAGGAGUUAAGCGAUGUCGUUGGUCUGACGUCAAUUUAUGUUAACUCAUAUUGUAUUUAUACCCAACUGAAAGGGCCGCGAGACAAGCGUUUGGGCAGCGCCCUGUUUAUGAAAGAAAAUUCUAAAAUGAGGCUUAAACCAAACAGGGAUGUUGUUUUACUUUUCUGUCUUGGCUUUCUUUGUUUCAGCCAAAUAUGCUGUGUAAGCCUCGAAAUCAUGCGAAGACAAGAGAGACACCGAGAGGGAAAAAACGAUGAUGUUCGAGUGGGUACCAUUAUGUUCGGCAGAGAUAUUCCUGAUUUUGGCCCAGUGAAAAAUGAGGAUGGCUUUAACAUUCAAGCCGACGCUGCUGGGCUGGUUGGAGGACAAGGUGUCAUUAAUGACUCCAGUUCUUCUAAGGCAGCCUGGGCUAGUAUGCGACCAAUUGUGUUAUGUACUGAGGACCUCAUGAAGUUCUCGGCACAAGGCCCAGGAUCCUCUUCACUUCAGCUAGACAGAGCAGGAGGAACACCGCUUAAGCUAAACCAGCUGCCGCAGGACUGUGGCUACUCUGUGUACAGGAAUGUACUGGGCCUUGUGUUUCUCAUCCCCUAUGAUGGUUGUGAUGUUAUAAAUCAGGGUGGCAACCAUUUGCUCCAGAUGUUAUGGCAAGGCAAUCCAGUAACCCUUUCUUGCCCUAUGUCAACCCAAGCCUCUCAAUCUCCUAUGGAUCCACAACUUAUCUAUCCACCCGCUCCCACUACUGAAGCUCCAACUACUACAGAAGCAACUUCAUCCACUGCCUCUAAGCUUCCCCCACAAGAUCAGCAGCAGCAGCAGCAGCAACAGUUGAUGCAGCAGCAGCAACAGUUGAUGCAGCAGCAGCAGCAGCAGCAGCAACAGUUGAUGCAGCAGCAACAGUUGAAGAAGCAGCAGCAGCAAGAAUUGAUGCGCUCUUACGUCAUGUACCCAGGAUACAGAAACCCUUUCAUGCCAGUGAAGGCUCCCUACCAAACUACUGCAGCAACUACUACAGAAGCAACUUCAUCCACUACAGAAGCAACUUCAUCCACUACCUCUAAGCUUCCCCCACAAGAUCAGCAGCAGCAGCAGCAGCAGCAGCAGCAGCAGCAGCAGCAGCAGCAGCAGCAGCAGCAACAGUUGAUGCAGCAGCAGCAGCAACAGCAGCAGCAGCAACAGUUGAUGCAACAGUUGAAGCAGCAGCAGCAGCAGCAAGAAUUGAUGGACUAUUACUUCAUGUACCCAGGAUACAGAAACCCUUUCAUGCCAGUAAAGGCUCCCCCUCAAACUACUGAAGCUCCAACUACUACAGACGCAACUUCAUCCACUACAGAAGCAACUUCAUCCACUACAGAAGCAACUUCAUCCACUACAGAAGCAACUUCUUCCACUACAGAAGCAACUUCAUCCACUGCCUCUAAGCUUCCCCCACAAGAGCAGCAGCAGCAGCAGCAGCAGCAACAGCAGCAGUUGAUGCAGCAGCAGCAGCAGCAGCAGUUGAUGCAGCAGCAACAGUUGAAGCAUCAGCAGCAGCAGCAAGAAUUGAUGCACUCUUACUUCAUGUACCCAGGAUACAGAAACCCUUUCAUGCCAGUGAAGGCUCCCUACCAAACUACUGCAGCUCCAACUACUACAGAAGCAACUUCAUCCACUACAGAAGCAACUUCAUCCACUACAGAAGCAACUUCAUCCACUGCCUCUAAGCUUCCCCCACAAGAUCAGCAGCAGCAGCAACAGUUGAUGCAGCAGCAGCAGCAGCAGCAGCAGCAGCAGCAGCAGCAGCAGCAACAGUUGAUGCAACAGUUGAAGCAGCAGCAGCAGCAGCAGCAAGAAUUGAUGGACUAUUACUUCAUGUACCCAGGAUACAGAAACCCUUUCAUGCCAGUGAAGGCUCCCUACCAAACUACUGCAGCGCCAACUACUGAAGCUCCAACUACUACAGAAGCAACUUCAUCCACUACAGAAGCAACUUCAUCCACUACAGACGCAACUUCAUCCACUACCUCUAAGCUUCCCCCACAAGAUCAGCAACAACAGCAGCAGCAGCAACAGUUGAUGCAGCAGCAGCAGCAACAGCAGCAGCAACAGUUGAUGCAACAGUUGAAGCAGCAGCAGCAGCAGCAGCAAGAAUUGAUGGACUAUUACUUCAUGUACCCAGGAUACAGAAAUCCUUUCAUGCCAGUAAAGGCUCCCCCUCAAACUACUGAAGCUCCAACUACUGAAGCUCCAACUACUACAGAAGCAACUUCAUCCACUACAGAAGCAACUUCAUCCACUACAGAAGCAACUUCAUCCACUGCCUCUAAGCUUCCCCCACAAGAGCAGCAGCAGCAGCAGUUGAUGCAGCAGCAGCAGCAGCAGCAGCAGCAGCAGUUGAUGCAGCAGCAACAGUUGAAGCAUCAGCAGCAGCAGCAAGAAUUGAUGCACUCUUACUUCAUGUACCCAGGAUACAGAAACCCUUUCAUGCCAGUGAAGGCUCCCUACCAAACUACUGC
ensembl:lncRNA